GUGGGGAAUAUUGGACAAUGGGCGAAAGCCUGAUCCAGCAAUACCGCGUGUGUGAAGAAGGCCUUAGGGUUGUAAAGCACUUUUAAUAGGGAGGAACACCUGGUGGUUAAUACCCAUCAGAAUGACAUUACCUAUAGAAAAAGCACCGGCUAACUCCGUGCCAGCAGCCGCGGUAAUACGGAGGGUGCAAGCGUUAAUCGGAAUUACUGGGCGUAAAGCGUGCGUAGGUGGUUGUUUAAGUCAGAUGUGAAAGCCCCGGGCUCAACCUGGGAAUGGCAUUUGAUACUGGGCAACUCGAGUUCGGGAGAGGAGAGUGGAAUUUCAGGUGUAGCGGUGAAAUGCGUAGAGAUCUGAAGGAACACCAGUGGCGAAGGCGACUCUCUGGCCUGAAACUGACGCUGAGGCACGAAAGCAUGGGUAGCAAACAGGAUUAGAAACCCUUGUAGUCC
rnacentral:rRNA from 1 species